AUGGGGAUGCGGGGGCGGCCCCGCCGCGGCUCGAGAGGGAUAACGUCGUCGCCACCACCUGGGUUCGGCCCCGCCGCGGCCGCCGCGCGGCCGUCCUCCGCCCGUUCCGCAGGUACCAACUCUGCUGCUCGUACCGGCAUGCUGUUCAACGUAGAAAUACAACCUGGCUACGCUGAUCCUGAGUCUCUGCGACAUGUUUGGAAUAGAAGUGCUUCCCCUAUGAAAGGCCGGAAGAGGAAAUUCGGUGUUGAUGCAACCAAAGGUGAAUCACCAGGUAUUAAUGCAAGUAACACCGGGGAGCACCUGCGUUCCUGCAGAAAAGGCAAGGGUCCAGGGAAACGUGCCAGGUUGGUAGACAAAGAAGGUGCUACUGGGUUGGGAAGAGUUCAAACACCAACCGGCUUAUACGAAGAUGAAUGUGCUUUCUGCCAAUCAUUUAGAACCAGUGAGCCGGUGCAUGGUCCGCUGGUACUGUAUCACAAUGGAAGGAUUGUGUCCAGUGACGAGGCCGACGCUACUAACGCCAUAUAUGUCCACUUCAAAUGCAUGGUUUGGGCCCCAAAAGUGAAAUCCAACGACGACGGUACUUUUGAGAACGUCGAGAGUGAAAUCGAGCGUGGUUCAAGAUGGGAUUGCAGCAGAUGCAAUCUCCGGGGAGCAGCACUUGGUUGUUAUCGCGCGGGGUGCCCCAAUACUUAUCAUGUCCCAUGUGCAUUCAUGAUACCAGAAUGCCGCUGGGAUGUUGAGAAUCUCCAUGUUUGGUGUCCCAUGCAUGCACCACCUGAUGAGAUGAGCUCACCAACAAUUGAGACUGGCAUUCUUUCCCCCGACCCUCAAAACCAAAGUCCAGCUAACGAAAUUUCUGCCGAUUGCCAAAUGGAAGAUAACCAAAUUAAUCCAUUGCUGGGCAAUGAGAUGAGCUCACCAAUAAUUGGAAGUGACAUUCCUUCCACUGUCCUUCAGAACAGUUGCCCAGCUAAAGAAAUUUCCGUCGAUUGCCAAAUGGAAGAUAAACAAUUUAAUCCACUCGUCACAUCAAAUUCUCCUUUGCCUGGACUAGUGCCUGGUUCCAGCCAAUAUUUAAUUAAAGAAGGAAUAUCUGCCCUUCAUAGAGGGGAAGAUCUACAAGUAGAUCAGCUGAACACCUCAAGUUCUUCCUCGCCUCAGGGCCAAUGUACGGACAAAGAAGGAAUUUCUACCAAUUACCGAGCAGAAGACAAACUAGCAAACCAGUCUAGUACCCCUUUGGAUCAGUGGGUUUUGCUCGGCAUAGCUUUAAGUGCAUCAGAAAAGGAUUCCUUGAAAGAAUUUGCAUCCUUGACCAGUUCAACCUUGGCUCAGGAAUGGGACAAAACUGUGACUCAUGUUAUUGUGGGCAGAAACGCUGGUUCUCGAUGUGGCAGAUCAUAUGAGGUCCAGAUGGCUAUACUGUCUGGGAAAUGGGUUGUCGCAGCCGGAUGGGUUGUGGAUUGCUUGGUGGAAAGGAUUUCAGGUCCAAAGCCUUGCUUGGCAAAGCUGAUUCCAAGCCCGGAAAUUUCUUAUGAGGUGAAAUUCUACGAUGGUGCACGCACAUCAAUUGAUGGACCAGCGAAAGGAAGAGCUGGAGCUGCUGAAGGGGCACGAAAACUGCUCUCAGGACUGCAUUUCUGCUUCAGCGCAUACAUGCACCCAGAAGACAGAGAGGACAUCCAGAAUCUCAUAGCAGCUGGUGGAGGGCAAGUACUGGAGGGAAUCAGCCCAGACGGGUUACGUGAGAAUCUGAAAAGAAAUCCAGCAGAGGUGUACUUCAUCUACCACGGCGGCCCUCCAAGGACGCCCACUUCGGAUUUCGAUCUUGAGGUGCAGGAGUGCAACAAGUACGUGGGAUCGGGAGCGCGGAUGAUCAGACACCUGCAGCUGUUCGAUGCUAUCCUGUGCUACGAUGUACUAUUCCUAAAACCGACCGGUGUCUUCACCAAGAUAUGCAAGUGA
rnacentral:rRNA from 1 species